rnacentral:rRNA from 1 species
AUUGAACGCUGGCGGCAUGCCUUACACAUGCAAGUCGAACGGCAGCACGGGGCAACCUGGUGGCGAGUGGCGAACGGGUGAGUAAUGCAUCGGAACGUACCUUUCAGUGGGGGAUAACGUAGCGAAAGUUACGCUAAUACCGCAUAUUCUGUGAGCAGGAAAGCAGGGGAUCGCAAGACCUUGCGCUGAUUGAGCGGCCGAUGUCAGAUUAGCUAGUUGGUGAGGUAAAGGCUCACCAAGGCGACGAUCUGUAGCGGGUCUGAGAGGAUGAUCGGCCACACUGGAACUGAGACACGGUCCAGACUCCUACGGGAGGCAGCAGUGGGGAAUUUUGGACAGUGGGGGCAACCCUGAUCCAGCCAUGCCGCGUGAGUGAAGAAGGCCUUCGGGUUGUAAAGCUCUUUCGGCCGGGAAGAAAUCGCACGGGCUAAUACCCUGUGUGGAUGACGGUACCGGAAUAAGAAGCACCGGCUAACUACGUGCCAGCAGCCGCCGUAAGAC